rnacentral:rRNA from 1 species
CCUACGGGUGGCAGCAGUGAGGAAUAUUGGUCAAUGGGCUUACGCCUGAACCAGCCAAGUCGCGUGAGGGAAGACUGCCCUAUGGGUUGUAACCCUCUUUUGUCAGGGAGCAACGCCGGCUACGUGUAGCCGGACUGAGAGUACCUGAAGAAGAAGCAUCGGCUACCUCCGUGCCAGCAGCCGCGGUAAUACGGAGGAUGCGAGCGUUAUCCGGAUUUAUUGGGGUUAAAGGGUGCGUAGGCGGAAUGCCAAGUCAGCGGUAAAAUCGCGGGGCUCAACCUCGGUGCGCCGUUGAAACUGGCGUGCUUGAGUGCGCGAGAAGUAUGCGGAAUGCGUGGUGUAGCGGUGAAAUGCAUAGAUAUCACGAAGAACUCCGAUUGCGAAGGCAGCAUACCGGCGCCCAACUGACGCUGAAGCACGAAAGCGUGGGUAUCGAACAGGAUUAGAUACCCCAGUAGUC